GGUCUCUGGAGAGGCUGCAGUGGCUGUUGCCCUUGGUCUUGCUGAUGUCUGUCCUUCAACACCAGCUGACUGAACUUGCCAGUUGUUGAACUCAAGGGAGGUUUACUUGCAGCAGGACUUUGCAUGAGGACAAAGAUGGACCAAGCUCGCCUCCCUCAAGCUCAGAGACUGCAAAUGGACCUAACACCUUACCUGCUGCCACCCAGGCCCAUCCUGGAAGAGUGGAGACCACCGGCAGGCAACAGAUUGGGUAUGCCCCUGGGAUGGAGGUCACCUACUUCUGGACCAUACUUCCCAUCUUUCUCGGCUCAGUGUUCCCAGAUGCGACAUUGUGCAGCUUCUGGAGCCACGUCCACAUUUCAUAGAGUGAGACGUACACAGCUCUGUUCCGCUUUAAAUGAAGGAGCAGAUGCUUACCACCAACGGGGUAAUGACAAGGGUGUUGUCAAAUGAGUCUGCGUGCAAAGUAGAAAGGCUGGGAUGGAAGCAUCUUGAACCAACAAAGAUGGUAAUUUAUUUCAACAAGGCUCUAUUGUGAUUGGCAAUGUGAACUGCACUGGGAGAUAAGCUGGGAGAGUCUGAGACAGACUCGGAGCCUAGGUCUAACGUCCUAUUGCAUGAACUGUAUGUAGAUAGGUUUGUAUCUCACCUACUUUGAG
rnacentral:lncRNA from 1 species